UACGUAGGGUGCGAGCGUUGUCCGGAAUUAUUGGGCGUAAAGAGCUCGUAGGCGGUCUGUCGCGUCGGAUGUGAAAACUCGGGGCUCAACCCCGAGCCUGCAUUCGAUACGGGCAGACUAGAGUUCGGUAGGGGAGACUGGAAUUCCUGGUGUAGCGGUGAAAUGCGCAGAUAUCAGGAGGAACACCGGUGGCGAAGGCGGGUCUCUGGGCCGAUACUGACGCUGAGGUGCGAAAGCGUGGGGAGCAAACAGG
rnacentral:rRNA from 1 species